rnacentral:rRNA from 1 species
GUGGGGAAUAUUGGACAAUGGGGGAAACCCUGAUCCAGCGACGCCGCGUGAGUGAAGAAGUAUUUCGGUAUGUAAAGCUCUAUCAGCAGGGAAGAAAAAAAUGACGGUACCUGACUAAGAAGCCCCGGCUAACUACGUGCCAGCAGCCGCGGUAAUACGUAGGGGGCAAGCGUUAUCCGGAUUUACUGGGUGUAAAGGGAGCGUAGACGGUAAUGCAAGUCUGAAGUGAAAUGCGGGGGCUCAACCCCUGAACUGCUUUGGAAACUGUAUAACUGGAGUGCAGGAGAGGUAAGUGGAAUUCCUAGUGUAGCGGUGAAAUGCGUAGAUAUUAGGAGGAACACCAGUGGCGAAGGCGGCUUACUGGACUGUAACUGACGUUGAGGCUCGAAAGCGUGGGGAGCAAACAGGAUUAGAUACCCUAGUAGUCC